GGGGCUGUAGCUUAGUGGUAGAGUGUUUGCCUAGCACACAUGAGGGCCUGGGUUCAAGCCCAGUACUCCCA
rnacentral:tRNA from 1 species